rnacentral:rRNA from 1 species
GUGCAGUCGUACGAGAGUUUUUAACUCAAGUGGCGGACGGGUGAGUAACACGUAAGAAUUUGCCUUUAGGAGGGGGACAACAACUGGAAACGGUUGCUAAUACCCCAUAUGCUUUCGAGUGAAAUGGAUUUUUCCGCCUAGAGAGAAGCUUGCGGCUGAUUAGCUUGUUGGUGAGGUAAUGGCUCACCAAGGCGACGAUCAGUAUCUGGUUUGAGAGGACGAUCAGACACACUGGAACUGAGACACGGUCCAGACUCCUACGGGAGGCAGCAGUGGGGAAUUUUCCGCAAUGGGCGAAAGCCUGACGGAGCAAUACCGCGUGAGGGAUGACGGCCUAUGGGUUGUAAACCUCUUUUUUCAGGGAGGAAUAAAAUGACGUGUACCUGAAGAAUAAGCAUCGGCUAACUCCGUGCCAGCAGCCGCGGUAAGACGGAGGAUGCAAGUGUUAUCCGGAAUCACUGGGCGUAAAGCGUCUGUAGGUGGUCCAAUAAGUCAACUGUUAAAUCUUGAGGCUCAACCUCAAAACCGCAGUCGAAACUAUUAGACUAGAGUAUAGUAGGGGUAAAGGGAAUUUCCAGUGGAGCGGUGAAAUGCGUAGAGAUUGGAAAGAACACCGAUGGCGAAGGCACUUUACUGGGCUAUUACUAACACUCAGAGACGAAAGCUAGGGUAGCAAAUGGGAUUAGAUACCCCAGUAGUCCUAGCCGUAAACAAUGGAUACUAGAUGUUGAACAGAUCGACCUGUGCAGUAUCAAAGCU